rnacentral:lncRNA from 1 species
AGGACAUCAAGCCCUCCUGAACAAGCUGGGAUAAUCUUCCUGGCGAAAGAUCCUUAACUUCAUUACAUCUGCAAAGCCCCUUUGGCCAUACAAGGACAAGCCCAUGGCCAGGACGGAACACAGAGAAGGGUCUGAGGCCUGGAGCGCGCCAUGAAGGCCAUGGGGCAAGUGAGGUCUGCUGAGAUAGCGCAGGUCUGCGGAGCUGAAGUGCAGCUGCAGAGGCUGGUCUGGUGCUGCGAGAACUGGAAGAAGCUGGGAGCUGUGGUCCCUGUCCACAGAGAUGCUGGAAACUGUGGCUGGGAGUGGCUCUGAGGCCGUGGAGAGAGAGCAUCUCUGCCCCACGGCAUCUGCGGGUUCAAUGAACCCUGGACUCAGAACCCGAGGAUAUGGAGGGCCAACUUCAAAGGACUUGAGCAUCCAUGGAGUUUGGUAUCUGAGUGGGGUCCUGGAACCAAUCCCAAGAACACUGAGGGAAGACUGUACUGAUAUAGGCAGUAUUCAUGGGUGAAUCUCAUGGAGAUAACUUUGAGUAAAAGUAUGCA